UGCUCACCUGUGCAAUCUCAUCUCCAAACAAGAGCUCCUCGGAGGUCUACAGUUGAAAUACUGGUGAAGAUCAAAGGGAAAUGAGCUUUCUCACUGGACAACCACCUUGUUUUAUGCUCUAUUGAUUUACAAUGCCCUACAGAAAUGUUAGGGGGUAUGGUGUGACUAAUGGAAGUUAACAGCACACACUUCUUCCAGAAAUAGUUUUUUAAAAUAGAGAUAUCACUUAGAGACCUGUUUAUGAGGUGAAGAGUCCCCUGUCUCCUUCUGCUUUAAUUUUUUUAUUUAAAAUAUAAUGAAAAGGAGAAAAAUCAGAACUGUAGUGAGGCUGGGCUCAUGGUGAUGUUGCUUCACAGAAAUUCUCAGCAUGUUUCCAUCACUCUGGAAUCUGAGCAGGGAUUCAGGUCUCUCUCAGACAAGUACCCCUUGCUCCAUUGAACUGACGGGUGUCCUCACCUCAAAUCACUACAGCUAGAUGCUCCAGAAGAAAGUAAGCAAAAAGCCUAUCAUACACUGGACUGUGGGGACUGAAGGAGAAUUUAUAGACAUGCUCUGAAAUGUGUCUGAACAGCAAACAAACAACUGCAUUUCCCUGCCUACAAAACAGUCAUAGUCUGUAUCCCGAAAGGCUGCAGCCCCCAGGGAGGAGAGAUAUCAUAGCUGGACAUCACUGGGUGCCAUGUUUCUAAUUCCCCAGAGAACUGAAAGUGACUGUUGCUG